rnacentral:rRNA from 1 species
CUUUUUUUUUUUUUUUUUUUUUUUUUGCGCUAGAGUAAACGGGGUUUUUGGGGGUUAAAAACUAUUCAAGUCGAACGCAGCACGCGAGAGUUACAUCUGCAGGUGGAGAGUGGCGCACGGGUGAGGAAUACAUCGGAAUGUACUUUUUCAUGGGGGAUACCGUCGGGAAAGAUACGAUAAUCCUGCAUAAGACCUACGGGUGAAAGCAGGGGACCUUCGGGCCUUGCGCGAUUGAAUGAACCGAAGUAGUAUUAGCUAGUAGGGGGGGUAAAGGCCCACCAUGGUGAGGAUCGGUAGCUGUUAUGAGAGGAUGAUCAGCCACACGGGAAGUGAGACACGUUCCAGACUCCUACGGGAGGCCGCAGUGGGGAAUAUUGGACAAUGGGCCCAAGCGGGAUCCAGCCCUACCGCGUGGGUGAAGAAGGCGUUCGGGUGGUAAAGCCCUUUUGUUGGGAAAGAAAUCCAGCUGGGUAAUACCUGGUUGGGAUGACGGUACCCAAAGAAUAAGCCCCGGCUAACUUCGUGCCAGCAGCCGCGGUAAUACGAAGGGGGCAAGCGUUAUUCGGAAUUACUGGGCGUAAAGCAUGCGUAGGUGGUUGUUUAAGUGUGUUGUGAAAGCCCUGGGCUCAACCUGGGAACUGCAGUUGAAACUGGACAUCUAGAGUGUGGUAGAGGGUAGCGGAAUUCCCGGUGUAGCAGUGAAAUGCGUAGAGAUCGGGAGGAACAUCCAUGGCGAAGGCAGCUACCUGGACCAACACUGACACUGAGGCACGAAAGCGUGGGGAGCAAACAGGAUUAGAUACCCUGGUAGUCCACGCCCUAAACGAUGAGAACUGGAUGUUGGGUGCAAUGUGUCACUCAGUAUCGCAGCUAACGCGAUAAGUACUCCGCCUGGAGACUCGG